UUUUUUUUUUUUGUAUGGAUUGCCUAUUCUGGCUCAGGAUGAGUUCAGUUUACUGUGAAAGUCUUUACCAGGCUUACUCAGUGGGAACGAAAGCUGUCCGUAACCACUGAAGGCAAGAGAGAAGUUCUAAAUUAGUUCCCGUUUAAAUUCUCCCUUCUCAUUUGUCUCUCUUUAGAAUACUUGCAGUGGCACAGAGCAGUGCAUAUAUACAGUAUGUACAAUAUGCUAAUUCCUUUCAUUGCCCUUGUCUAGGAAGCUACAAAUGUCUUCUCAGUGUGAGCUUCCUGCUGUCUACAAAAAAUUAAUAGAUGAAACCCAGGGAAGUCCCCAUUGUAAUAACAGUUGUGCCAACAAUUAUUAUGGCUUAUUAGAAUAGUGUUGAAUUGCACCACUGACCUAUGAAAAUCACCAUGAAUGGCACUGAAAGGCAAAGCUAUUGAAGAUUAAAACAAUUAUGUUACCUUCUAAUAUCAAGGCCUUUUUGAUGUACCACAUAAGAGUCUUUAGAGCAUAUAACUUUUUUCUCCUAAUCUUUCUGAAAGAAAUUUUUAAUCUAGGUUUGUUUAAAGGUUUUCGGACUUGAGUCAAUAACAUAAACCAUGAGUUGUGGACUAAGGUCAGCAAGGAGGAUAUUUGCUACAGCAAAGCCACCACUGUAACUCUGCCUUGGAUUUAAGAGUGUAAAAAUACCACAGUGGACUCAAGUUCUGCAGGAAGGUCAAGGCUCUGGACCUGCGUGAAUCCCAGGCAAUCUGAUUCAGCACCCACCCCUGCUCUCCCCCAAGGUGUACUUUCCAUCACCAAAGUGUCUGGACAUUGGUGAUUAUUCUAGGAAGUAUCCUCUUAGUGAGGCUUUAACUUUUAGUAAAAUGAUAUGCAAAUGGCUAUGUGCACAAUGGUGGAGACAGAGGAAGGAGGUACUGCUUGAGCUGAGCUGGAGCUUUCUGAUGAUCAGGUGCGGAAGAGACAUAGGAUGAUUGGGAAAGAGCCAAUGAGGAAAUAUUCUUGGAGACAGAAAACAGACACUUAAGAUGUUCAAACUUUGACCAGCAACAGGAGAGGAGCACAGAUUUUAGAGAAGCAGGCAGAACACAUUAUGAUCUAUCCGUUAUUCUUUUUCAGUAAUUUCUAAAAAAGCAGUCAUUCCAAAAUAUGACAAACUUGACUCCUUUAAGGGAGGCCUGGAAUGAGUGACAGUUAUAGAAUUUCUCUCCAGGAUAUCAUGGUUGAGCUUCCAUUUUAAGGCCUCCUUUUGUACACUUUGCAUUAUUUUUCUGGAUCCCCAAAGGAAGGGGGUCAAAAUAUAUAUAUGGAUGUUUUAAGUAUGAUCUUUUCAGGUUAGAUUUUUAGGAAACAUGCACACACAAUAACAAUCUUAAGUUCUACUUUCCGAGAUCUCUUUAUAAGCAAAGUCACUUGCUGACUCUCCAUUUCUGCACCAAUUCAAACAAGAGCCAGGAAGGGUGCUCCGGAGGGACUUGGGAUGAUGUCUACGUUAUCUGUGCUUUUUAUGAGGUUUUAUGAGCCAUACUGAGAUUUUGAAACUAUCUUCUAAAACCCAAACUCACUCAUAACUAGUAGUUACUUUGGCUUAAUUCAUACUCAGUUUUCAAACCAACAGACUGUGUCAUUAAUAUAUAACUCAGUACUGAUACACGAUGAUGUAGUAUUAAGGCAAAUGGUCCAGAGCUAAUCAAUUAAAAGGGUCCAAGGUCAUUCUAGAGGCCCUGCGCCAGUCAAGCAAAGCAGAGUGACUGUUGGUUUUUUGAAAGAACGGGAAAACCUGAUUAGAAAUCUCGCUGAUUGUGGAGAGCCUGCCUGAAGUUCAGUUAUGCCAGGAAAGAAUAUUUGCAAGGAUUAAUUUUCCUUCAAAUUACAUUUUAAUUCCAAACAGUGAACAUUUCUGUCCAUACAUCAGAAUGUACAGGGCCCACAUGAAACCUGCCGUUUAAGCUUUUUCUUGUGAAGAUGCAGAGUUUGACAGUGGGCCUAUCAAACCUGAACAUGCACCAGAAUCCUCCUCAAGACCUUGUCAAAACCCACAUUGCUCGGUCCACUUCCAGAAUUCGAUUCAUAGGUCUGGGCUGGGGUCUCUGGUAGAACCAGAGAAGUUGUAUAAAUAACAAAUUUCAAAAUUGUUGCUGAUACUGUUUUGUUGGGGACCAAAUGUUAAGUGUCACUGUAUAGCUUAUUCUAGAACACACUACAGUUUUCCAAAUCACCUUAAUUGUGCUCCCAGGACGAAGCUUUUCCAUGUGGAACGUGAAAGUCGGUAUUGGAUUUUUUCCCCCCGAUGUUUUUGUAACGUAGGUAAGGGACAGAUUUGAUAGAUGCUGAUUUAAUAUUAAAGAAAGGAUCUGAAGUUUAAGUGCCUUAUCUGCUUAUACAACAAACCUGUAAGUGAAAUGUAACCAAACUCUAACCUAUGACCUCUGAAGGGAAUGUUUUUCCAUAUCAUCAAAUUUGAGUCUCUAAAAGGCUUUUUGGAGAAAACUCUACAGUUUCUCUUCUGAGGGUAGUAUUUUAGCAGUACCAUGAAGUUCGUCACCACACAGGUGAUAUUCCCUCUAUUAUUUCAGGGUGGUUAACAUAAUAGCUCCUUCAUAGUUUUUUACUGAACACAAAGGUUGAUUGUUUUGUUUCUAGUAAAAUCCUCUUUAAAGUACAUCAAAUCUAAGGGCCUAUAUGCAUGAGUACACAGAGGGCAAGAUCAUCAAGGGAAAAAUCCGAGAAAUUCAUUUGAUGGGGAAUUGAACAAGAUGUCAGCGCACUUAGAGAUUUGCAGUUUGUUUGACAAGUGGAGCUGGGUCAGUUCAGGAGGCUGGAUUGGUACAAGGACUUGAGGAGGAAGAGACAUGAGGGUCUGAAUGAGCAGCCGUCUAUGCAGAAGGGGGACUCGGUCUACUCACAGGCUCUCUCUGCCUUACAGCAAGCACCCACCACUGAUGGACAGAGCUACCUAGAUGGCUUAAGGCAGUCAUCUUUGGAAAAUGCUUCUGGUGCAGAUUUGUGUAAAAAAGACAGAAAAUCCUACCUUUCCAAUUUAGGAUCUCCUGAUCAAAUAUGAAAUGGGGGUCAAAUUCAAUGUGAGGGACUUAUCAAAAUAUAAGAAUCCCAUGCCUACUGCAACUGAACAGCGGCUCUAUAUAACAGUUAGUGAUGAGAAGGAAAAAUAAAAUUUUAUCCCUCAGUGGAAGUCAGAGCUACUAAUAUAGUUAUAAAAUAAUGUUACCUAUUUUAAUUUUUUUCUCUCGACAGGCUCACAAGAUCACUUGAUCUGUUACAGUGUUGGGAACAUUUGUUUACUUUUCCCCCGACAAAUUUGGCCCUGUGCCUCAAUGCUAAUAAAGCUGGAAUAUACGACUUAUGAUGUUGAAAUGGUUUUGCCAUUUCUAAUGACAUACUAACUGGGAUUCCUUCAAGAGAAAGCUUACAUUUAUUCCACUAAAACAUCCUUUGUUUAUAAUGACUUCAGAGUUGGGAUGCUAGUGUAUUGGCCAGGAAGAAGAAAAUGCAAGCUUGGACUCCUUUAAGUCACAAGUACAGAAGAUGCACUUUUAAAGGCCCAUUCGUCUCCCUGGCUUCAUUCCUACUCAGGAACUGCAGGUACAAUCAGAGGAGUCUGGAUGUUGAAAGUAACAGGGCUCAAAAUAGCCUUUUACAUAAAAAAAAAAAAAAAAAAAAAAAGAACAAACCACUAUCUACCAUCUGUCCCAGACAGAGAAGAAAUGAAAUAAAUACUUUGGGGGCAGGGCAGGGGUGGGUGUCAGGGAGGUGGAGGCUCUCAAAGCCUGGGCACAUCAAAUCUGGCCACUGCUCUACACCUUUCUCCUUCGCCCUCCUGAAUCAAGAGGUGAUUCUUUAGAGGCCUCUGGUGUAUUCCACGUGGCUAAUUUUCCAUGAAGAUAGUUGGUAGUUUGCCUGCUGUCCUCUCAGUAGCUUUAACUUCCCAACGAACUGUUAUUGCUUCUUAGAAACGAAUGUGCAAGUCCAUGAACAAUAAGCCAGUUUCUCCUUUUAUCCCUAGUAAAAUCAAACUCACAACACAAACGUUACAACUCAGGUGAAAAGGAGACUCACUUAUAUCUUCAAUGUCCAGUCAACGUUGCUGAAUGGGAGAACAGUAUACGCUAUACUCUACUAUAUACAGAUACGCUUAUUUUGUUUUUCAUCCAUGCACUGCGUAACAGGUAUCACGACAACAUUCCCCAACAGGCACACGAAGAAGGAGCAAAUGUUCAGUCAUGACUGGAACAGGAUUGUGCAAGCCAUGGAUACUUUCAAAAAUAAAGCUGACAAAUGAUCCCAGGCAACAGCGAACAUGGGACUGGGACACACAUGAUGCAAAUGGAAAACGAUGAUGUGCUUUUUUGAAUGGGGUUAUUCCUGUUUGCCUGAGAGAUGGUGGGCAGGAGGAGGAGGAUUGGGAUGGGGGACCUGGGGGUUAGCCAGGCUGGAAAAUCAGAAUAAGGGCCUUGCUAAUCAUAGUCCAGACCUGAAGAGAUAAGAAAUAAAUGAUUUUGCACGUUCUUGGGAAUCUAGGCACGUUAUUCCUGUACCUGUUAAACAAGACUGUCAGGCAUCAUAUCUUUAAAUGUCAGACUGUAUCUAGAGCCAUCACUUCUCCUGGCUCCAUUCAAGCGCCCAUGCUUCUUCUUGGAGGCAGCUUUAUCUCUACUCAUGUCCCAGAGAGAAGCACGAAAUUUAGUGAUCGAGCGAAGACCUGCCUCUUCUUCAGCGCCCAUGUCCUUUCUGAAUCCCAAAUAAUUUGUCAAGCGUUUGGAAGAAAGGGCAAUUGUAACGAUUUAAAUUUUUACCAAAAACCCAUUUGCACUUAGAUUGGUCAUCACCUCCCGCAAGGGAAACAGAAACUUUGACCCUCCCAACAAAAUAAUACAAAAUAAAAGUCAAACGUCAGCCACCUCCCAGCCCCCACCAAAAACAAGCGGAAACAGAAAACAAAUCAAAGACUUAAUGAUUUAUGAACCUGGAGAGAACACAGUCCUUCUAGGCUGAGCUGCAAAGAUGCCCCUGCCUCCGUGCCUCGUUCAAAGUGGCGAUGCCCCCUGGGAAUAAGAGGUGAUGGUUUCUCACUUCCGCCCUAGUACAGAGUAUGCUCUUGAAGCUGGGUUCCAUCAGCAGGUAAGUGAACAUGACAAAUGUCAGUUUCCUCUGUUCAUUAUACAUAAUAUUUUAUGUAUAUAUUUAUAUACGUAUAUAUAUAUAAAUUUACUAUAUCUGAUUGUUCCUUUAGAAGCCUUUUAUGUGGCAGUAGGCCUCCAGGGAGGAGAAGAAAAUGUACAAGAGCCAUAGGAGCACGAAGAGGCAGGAUGUGAGGAGCUUGGCAGUCCGGGGCCCACCCAGCUCACCUCCGAUCUCCGGCCUUCGCCGAUACAGCAGCACCCCCACAUUGAUGAAAGCAAAAAUGGUGAAGAGAGUGACAGAGAAAGCUAGCGUGCCAGGGGACACUUUGAACUGUUCCCCGUUGGCUGCGUGGUAGAUGGCAGCGAUGGACCAGGCCACGCCGAUUCCCAGGAAGACGUUCACCGCGUUGCUGCCAGUGACGUUACCUAUGGAUGCAUCUGCGUACUGGUCCUGGGUGGCGGCCACUUUGCUUGCAAACGUAUCUGUGGAGGAAGAAAAAAAAAGGCAGUGACACUCAAUAUUUUAGGUCCGUGGAGCACUGGAAGCUUCCGCGAUGUACUCUAGGGUCAAAUCCCCUGACGGAAACCUCGUGACCAGGAGGAGGUUUUCCUCUUCUCUGGAGUUCCCCUCCUGUGGUCAGAACAAUGGGAUCUAGACAUCAGAAGUCAAAUGUUUGGUGUUGGCUGUGUUACCAGAUGAUCUUGGGUCAAUUUCUUUGCCCACAGGCAGCACAGUUCUUUGUGAAACUGAGCUUGCAGGGCAGCAUUUUUCAGAGUGAUCGUGACCCGUCUACAUUAGAAUCACGUGGGGUCCUCAAGCGUGAAUGGUACAAGGUUCCAUCCAGCUGGGCUGCAUCAGAAUCACCGGGGCCCAGGAAUCUGCUUUAACAACAUCCCAAGAGAUUAUAGGUCACUAAAGCUUGUGAAUGGCUAUUGGAGGGAAUUGCUACAAGGUUCUGUAUCGACAGCUCUAGGUUACAGACGAGGAAGCUAAGGUGUCAGGAGAUCUUUCCAAAGAUUCAAGAGCAAAUCCUCAGUGGAACUGAAGCUAAUUGAACCAUAAUAAUAGCUGGCAUUGGCCUAGAGCCUUAGGGAUAGGAAAGCCGACUCACCUACAUUACUGCACUGAUUGUGACAAUUCUAUGAGGGGGCACACUUUAUAGGUGAGGACACUGGGCUUCUGGACAAUAAGUGAUGGGUGCAAUAUCACGCAACAAGGGAGAAGCCAUCUCGGGGCUUGCGCUGGGACCUCCCACCGUCACUGCAGGCAGCAUCGUACCUUUCACUAUGCCAUGCGUACUAGUGGCCAUUCUCAAAGCUUUGAUUUCGCCAGUAAUCCCGAGUGCAUCUUCUUCUGAAGAUAGGAAAAUCGUGGACAAAUACAAGGAGUAGGACAAGUGACUGAUAUUCACGAUGAGUAGAGCAUAGGGCAUGUUUGUGCCAUCAAAUCCUGUCGUCACAACUGAACGUGUGACCCCAGGUGGAUUACUUAAUUUCUCAAGCCUCAAUUUUCCAAUCUGUGAAAUGGGGAUAGUGACACCCACCUCAGGGUGCUGUUGAAAUGCUAUAGCACGGAUGCUAUGAAAGACCAAAGGAGGAAGGAAAUUUACUUAAACUCGUAGAAUUCUGGCUCCACCAUUUGCCAGGUGAAGUGCAAGAGGUCAAGGAAUUACUGAUGUUGACGGAUUAAUGACCAGUUAGGAGUUGUAAAAACGGAAAAAGGGAAGAACACUUCAAUGAGAUUUCUGCCCAUAAAAGCUCCCUGAAAGAGUGUAAAAAAGAAAUGGAGAUGGUGACGUGACUUAUUUUUAGAAGGGAACAGAGGCUCCUACUCCUGCUCAGAGACCUAGAAAAUGGCUUGAUUUCCAGAGUUUCCAGUAAGUCUGCAGAACGUGACUGCUGGGAGAACAUCCCCGAUAUGCCCUUCCUGAUCCUGACCCCCGUGCCUGGUCAGCCGUGUAUCACAGGAAGCUUUGGUCUCGGCCCAGAAUGACCAAACCUCUUUUAAAUUUUUACAGGAGAUGCAUUUGGUAGGACCACCGGCUGCGUUUCCAGAGAGGCUUUGCAAUGAGCAUGCACUGAAGAACAAAGGAAGGACUGUACAUCUCUGAGUCACCUCAGGAAAUGUACAUUUGUUCCAGUCAGACUACUUGUUGCUUUACAUGGGCAGAGGUGACGUCCAGAUACCUGCUCUUGCAAGAACAUUGAUUGAAGCCUCACUUCAGUGUGCUCCAAGUCUCCGUGUCCCUCCUUUGAUUGGAUCGGUGGGCUUAUUCUCACACUAGUGACUGGGUAGUUGAGACACUCCUCUGAAGAGGUGACCUGGAAGCUGAUACCUUAAUGAAAGAAAGACACAGUGUAGAUGGAGAAGAAUGCCAUGUUUGAAGACAUGUGCUUCAUCUAGAAACUCCAAGGCAGUCUCUGAAAUGUGCAGAAUCCAUGAAGGCUACCUUGCCCAAUUUCCACCUCCCUCAAAUCUCACAAGGACAGCCAACUUAUUGGGUGCCAGGAGCAGAGUAUUUCCAAGAAGCCUUCAAGAGUUACUGAACUCAACAUAUGGGAGUCUUAAAUCAUCCAGGAUCUUAGGUCUGAUACCUGUCGUUCAACGACGAUAGAUAGAACAUCUCAGGAAAUUCUAUUUUGGCUGCCCUGCCUGACGGAGACUUUGGCACAAGGGUGGUAUAAACUUCCUGUCCUUCCUCAUGAAAACUAGGCCGUGGAAACAGAUAUAAAAUCAAAGAACACAAAGAAAUUGGCUUCUUUGUUCAAAUAUUUUCUAAAAAUAUGUAAGUACAAAUCAACUAAAAAAAAUCUAGCUUUAAGGAUACUGCUAUUUAUUUUUCCUUUUUACUGUAUAUAUUAGAAAACUGUCAAUUCUAUAAGGAUCAAAACAUUUUGGAGCAUAAGGCUGGCUAGGCCUUAAGCAAGGCCUAAAGUCGUGUCUACCUCUUGUCCCUUGGAAAUGUCAUAUUUGAUGAUAUGAAAAAUCUUAGGCCAAAUGGAUGCUACAGUGUGUACAACAGUAUUCUUCAAGGGUCUUUGCUCUUAUUAAAUAUCUAUUUUUUGAAAACUGGGUUGUCGAAAGGAGCCUAAUUACUGAAUUAUCUCAAAAGUUCCUAUUAGUUGCCAUUAGACUAAUGGCAUUAGUUAUAAGUCAUUACUUAUUAGUCAUUACUAAUAAGCAUUAUCACUAAGUUUUUAUGACUAAUGUUCAAGGGGAGAUUUGGUAGUCAGAAGCACAUUUUAGAACAAUCCCUGAAUAGUGAAUAACUGAACACAGAAAUCAUGCUUUUAGAUCAUCACUUCUGAUUUACAGAAAUCUCUUAUGGUAUUUCUUAAGUCUGCAUUUCAAUCCAGGUUAGUGGGCGUUUCCUGAAGAGAGGGGGCAUUUCUUGGUGCACUUGUGAGUGAGGGAAGGGGAUGAAAUUGCUAAAGCUUCCAAGGAAAUAAAGGAUAGUACUUGGAGCCGAGGAAGAGGAGAGAGUUAAGUGUGAGAGUAGGAGACACGGAGAGAGAAGAGUACAAUUUCUCGCUGGUAUGUCUUUGUAUACUCUCACACCUGUCAUUCCUCUUCUUAUCCAUUUUGGUUCCUCAAGCACAAGGGAGAAACUGCACUCUUUCUCAUAUUCCUCACGGUCAAAUAUUCUAAUGGUAAUGAUCUUCCUGUGGGAACACAAGACAAAGGCAAAACAAAUGGUUGGCGUCACACGCUCAUGCUAGGUGUUCACCAAGCUGCAUGUUACUGUGAUGUUAUGAAGGUUGAACUGGCAACACAUGGACCUCCAGAAGUAUGUAAAAGGGCAUCACGGCUACUCCCAGCUGGCCCCGGUGACGUUUUCUUCCAAUUUACCACUUACACCAUUUCUUCCUGCUUCACUUAGCUGUCAGGAAGUACCCCAACUUAGGAAGAGAGAUCAGAAAGUUGGCUUCGUUUUGGCCUGGCAAACAUUAGCACCAUCUUUCCCAGAAAUGAAGGCCUGAUUGACUGCACUGAACAUUCGUUUCUCAGCCCUGCAGCGUGCAGAGUGGCCAGAAUUGGCUGAUGGAGCUACAGGUUGGGACCGCUGUGGCCCCCGGGGGUGAGAUCUAUGCCCUGUUACAUAGGUGGAGGGAUGUGUGUGUUGUGAGUCACGUCUGAAGAGUGCAGGCAUCCAGGGGUGGCACAGGCCAGCAAGAAGCUGUUGGGCUCAGCCCUGGAGCAGCUCCCCCACCUUUCUUCUCACUCAUCUCCACCAGGCGGGGCUCUCCAAUCUCAAGGAAGAAGGUCUUGUUUUUCUCAUACUCCUCAUCAUCAAUUACCUUGACUGAUAUUGUUUUGCUGAAACAGAGAAGAGUAGAAAUUGACGAACAAGGGAAAGAGAAGGAACAUAGAGAAGAGGAAAGCAAGGUUAACGAGCUGCACUUCCAGACAAACUUCUGUACUUCCAGAGAACCUUCCGUACUGUGACUUUGUUCUUCCAGAAUGGGUGUGGGUUAUUGAUCAAAGCCAUCAAGUUGCAUUUAGACCUAUGUAUGACAAGGAGCUUCAGUGUUCUUUCCUAGUAUUAAAUAAAGUCCCAACCCAUCCUAUGUGUAAUCCCACGUUUUUUGAUUUGCAUAAAUAGAGCACCAUAGAGACGACUGGAGUAGCCUGGCUAACCGGGUAAGUCUGUUAAGAAAAAACUACCAGUUUUCUUCCCAAAAAGCAACAUGAUCACUCAUUCACAAAUGAAUAGAAGUAACCAAAUAACAUUGUUUCGUAUCCUUUGUGAAUUUAAUCCUCUAUUGUUGUAGCAGCUUUAUUUUCUAUACUCUGGAGUAUGAGAAAUAUAAAAUCCCACACAAUUUGUAUAAUAAAAUAAACACUGAAAAUUUACCUUUAGAUUAUCAAUAUUUACUAGGUCCAUAAUCCUUAGAAAAUGUUUCAGGAUUUGAUAACUGUAAGACUGGAAAAUCAAAGAUGAGGAAAAAGAAAACAGUACCUCUGUAGGUGCCUGGCAAAGACACCUAAAAUAGAUGGGAUUUGCAUAAUGGCAUAUUAUUUCAAAAUCAUUAAUAAUACCAUCAAUAGUAUCCCUGACAGGAGGAACCAUUAAAUUAUAAAUUGAUUUUGGUGCUCUUGCAUAGUAAAACUAUUAAUAGGCAACUUGAUUAUUGAAGGACAUUUCAGUCCAUUUAAAGAGGCAGGAUAAAGCUAAUCCUUAUGAAUUAGCCCUUGAAAUCAAGAGAGGCAAAAAUCAGAAGAGAUUGCUAAUGUUCACCUUUCACUUCUCCCCCUAGCAAAGGUAGCAAAGGUGAAAAUGACUAAACAUAAUUUGAGAGAGAAAGAGAGAGCGAGCACGAGCAGAGGAGGGGCAGAAGGAGAGGGAGAAUCUUAACCAGGCUUCAUACUCAGCGCAGAGCCCAGCCCAGAGUCUGACUUGGGGCUCGAUCCCAGGACCAUGAGAUCAUGACCUGAGCUGAAAUCAAGAGCCAGAAGCUUAACCGAUUGAGCCACCCAGGCACCCCCUAACCAAUGUAAUUUUUAACGGAACUUAUCCUUAGGCUGUCCUUUGCUCACUUUUCAGAGCCUAAUGCCACUUCUUCCAUCACAGGGGAAGUUACAUGAGAUGGGGUGGAUUUGGUAAGGACUCCAGUUAUGCUAGUUUGAUAAUCAGCAGAAGCACACCUCUGUUCCUCAUAAUUUUGCAGUGGAUAUAGAAUCUCAAGGACUGAAAAGAUUAAAGGCCCUCCCAUUUGCACCCCACCCUCACCCCCCAUUGCCACACCAUUCCCAUAUUCAAAGGGCUUUUGCUUUAUAACAGGGACUCCCUCUCCCUGAGAACACAGAUUCGUGUUGGCUGUCCUUUUGUUCUCUUUACCCACAGGUAGCAGUCAAGUCAAGUUUUAUUUCUUUAGACUGAAAGGUUAACCAAAACAAGACUGGAAGACUCAGGUAGACAUAGCCCUUCAACCAACGACAACUCUUGUACUCUGAUUGCCCUGAUAAGGAACAAAUAGAAAAGCUGAUAUCGUGCAAUUUUCAUCUACCAUAAUUAUGAAGAAGUCCAUGGUCUCAGCCAAGAACUCUAAAAGGCAGAGGAAAAAUUAUCUUUCCUCCUCUACACUUCAACAAUGGUUGAGCCAUGGAAACAUUAUGCUGAAUGAAAGAAGCCAGACACAGAAAUUCAUAUAUGGUCAAGAGCAUCAGACUGGGAUGUGGAUUACACAAGUUCAUUAGUAUCUUGAUUCGGCCACUUUCUAGCCAAGGCAGACAAGAGCAGUGAGCGGUUAAAGGCAAAAGAGAUAACAAGCGUUCAACAGCAGCAACUGCUGUUAUGUCCAAGGGCCAGCCCUGAUUCAUCACAAUGGGAUGAACCAGACUGAACGACGACGAGGCUGGGACAAGAUCUAGCCCACUGGACCAGAGCAGGGAGCUGGAAAUGACAGAAGCUGUACAAAUCCACCCAAAGGGAGGAGGCCCAUUCCAACGCAGAAGAACAUCGCACCCAGAAAGAAUGGAAAUGCUAGAUGGAAGCUAGGCAAUCAUCAAAAGCACCAGAUUAGAACCAGUAUAAUGAUGGAUUCCUACACAAACAGUGGGAUUCUACUUCUUGAAUAACCUCUACAGAAAUCAAGAUUACAGUUUCUUAAACCUGAACACGUGAUCCAAGUAUGCUGCAACUCUUUGAAAGUGGCCAGAUUGAAGUAACCUUAAGGUUUACGAAGCAGACCUCCUUGAUUGCCAUAUCACUGGAAGGACUUCUCUUUCUAUAAUUCAAGCUAUCCAAAAGAACUACUGUAAAUGUUUUGUGCACCGCGAGUACCUACAGCCAAGGAAGAAGAAGAGAACAUAGAGGGUGAAAGGAGGGGCAGGAACAAGAAAGGACAGUCGUAGUGUCUAGCUUAUAGAAAGAACCCAAUGUAUGCCUUUAUCCAGGAGCUAGGAAGCCAGAUCAUCAGCUGAGAGUGGGGACAGAGGAGAGGAAGUGCUGGCCCUAAGAGUAAAGAAGAGGCCGGGCUGAAAUAGCUGGAUAGGGAAGAGGAAAUGAAAACUAGGGAAAGACAGCAUGACUAGUGGCAUCAACAGUGCUUACUGCUCGGUAUUGCCUCCGUUCCCACAGGUAUCAAAAUCUUCCUUCGCCCAGAACCUCCCAGCAGCCCUAUUGAUCGAUCUGAGUUGGCAGAUGAGAGAAUGUGUAUUUCCCAGUUCUGAUCUAAUCUGACCUACUCCUACGAAUCCAGACCAGGACCACGCGGUGCCUCUAACUUCAGAGAAAGUGAAGCAACCCCAUUAGUGUGAGGUUUACACAACCUUUGACUCAACGGUCAGUUUCUCUCCCCUCUCCAGUUCCUGCAGGGUAGGCUGCUAGUUUAAUUUUUGUCUCCUGAUUUUUGUUUCUAUGGAUAUGUUAAUGGUUUUACAGGAUCAUUUCCUAUGGUGCAGAGGAACACCUUGGGCCAGUCUCUAUUUUCAAAGUCAGAAAUGCUGUGAGGUCAGGCAGGAUCUCGUGAAUUCUGUAAUACGCUAGAAAUAUCUUCUAAUUUCUUUUUUCGCACUAAUCUGUAAAGGUACCUCAACAGUUUCCCUUCUUUGCCCUGCUGAAACAUUGAUAAAAAAAUAUGCAUCUAGAAAGAGGCCAAUAGAUGUUAGCUCUUAUUAUUUUUAUCCUAUAAUUGCUGAAGCUAAUCCUAUUUCAUGGUUUGCAGCCCCCAAACCAAUGGAUGUUCCCUUCUGUCAGGAUCCUAACAAACUUCUCUGCCCUGGUCUGAUACCAGCAACUUGUGUUUAGGUGUUUAUGGCUGGUGGUGGGUUGACCACCACCUUCCUAUAUGCCUUCCACCAUAUAUGCCUUCCUAGUGCAUGUUAUUGCACUAGGUUGACCACCACCUUCCUAUAUGCCUUCCACCAUAUAUGCCUUCCUAGUGCAUGUUAUUUCAUGACCUGACCUCUUCUUCGAGCUUCAGCUGCUUUCGGACUUCUACUCUGUCCUGUAUGGUCUCUCAGAUGCCUCUCUUCCAGACCCUGUUGAGGCAGGUCAAGGUCAUCUUCUGAGUUCAGAGAAUUCUCACUUUUUAGUGAACUGUGAUCCCAAUCUCCACCCUAGACCAUGUACAGGAGCCAAACUAACCACAAGGUCAGGCUUUGCUAAAAUUAUCCCGUCUGUCAGUCUCCUGGCAAACGACUAGUUUGAAGAUUUUAAUCACAACAUUGACACACACAAUGCUAAUUUCAUACAGUUAUGUAACUUAACUGAUAAGCCCAUCUAAGCUUUACCUGCAUGGUAAGAGACCUGCGGUUAAAAAGUGAAACAUAUUAACUAACCAUAUGCUUAAUUUAUAUUUACCCAACAGAAAGCAUUUCUGAAAUCUGAAAUAAACAAACAUGGGGUGAAGGGAUUGCGUGAAGGCAGGUCUUCACAUCCAGAACCAAUAUUAAGAGCAAGAGAACAACUAAUUUGUCUCAGUGGGGUAGCAAAGGGACACAGCCUUCAGAAUGUCAUGGGAGAUUAUAUUUCAACGACUUACAGUUAAUUUGAAAACUGACUUAGCUCUGGCCCUAUUAUUAAUGACAGUUUCAAUCAAUGACCAUUUUGUAUCUAAAUUUCACUUUAUCUGUGUUUCUCCUCUCUUCUACCUAUUAGGAUUCCUGGACUACUUGACUUACAUUAAAAAUGUUCUAGUUUCUGUGGCUAGUUGUGUUUUGCUUUGAUAAACUCAUUGCAAAGUGUGUGUAAUUGUUGCAUUGCGAACAAGGGAAUGGCAAUAAAUUUAGGCAUAGCAUUUUUGAACAAAAUACAAGCAGCUUGAAAAACUGUUUCUGAAUGACAAGAAAUUUGGCAUGACCAAGUAGGUGAAAAGUACCAUUAUACAUCUUUAUGUAUUGAAGUUUAUGUCUAUAGAGCAAAGGGAGAAAAAGAGGAAGCAUACUGCAGGUAUUAGCCUGUGUACUUUUCUGAUUUUACGGAUGAUCACAUUUAUCUAGGGCCUAUAAUACUUUAUAAAAGAUGAAAACAUUCUUGUGGGAGGAAAAAACCAAUUAACUUCCUUGCUUGCAGAGAUGGGUAACCUUGUUUCUUCUCUCUUAGAUUUCAGUAGGACACCCCCAUCUUUGGAUGAAAAAUGCUGACCGGUGUGUUCUGGGAAUCUUGGCUCACCCCGAGGCUAAUGAGCACAGUGUCCUGGCUGUGUGCCCAGCUUUUGUGGCAGGGAGUUACCCCCAGUGCUUUUUUUAACUUACACUAAAGUUUGGACUUAGAAAGCAAGAUCUGCCAGCGCAUCAGAGGAAAUAGGGCUUUCCCUCUAUAACCAUCGACAUCAAAUUCUAUUUCUACCUGCAGCCCUGGAAUCAGCCUCUUUGGUCUGAUUUAAUCGCCAUAUUCACACCCAUCUCUGUUGGCGAAGUUAAAGAGGGAAGAGUGCGGGUAGGACUCUUCUAGUUUGGGGGAACCCAAUCUAUGUGCCCCUUUCAAUGGGGACGCAGGAGAGGGGUGGGGUCGUGGGGAUGAGUCCUAAGGAGUGUAUAUAUGCACCGAGGAGGAAAGGCAGAGCAUGUGACACAAAGGGCAAGUGCAGGAGAGUAGCUCUCACUUGACCUUGUUAGGCUUCCUGCGUGGAAUUAAAUUUCAGAAACUGGCAAGGCUCGCAAGGAGUAAUUACUGCAAUUGCCUCACCCCCUACUGUCAGCACAUGGCAAGGUUUGCUGCGGGUAGGGCAGCAGGCAGUUCUUUCCGAACAUUUCAAAAUAUUGGUAACAUUUUCUUAAAUUUCUCACCAACCCACAGAGAUGAUUUGGAGGCACCCGAACUCUUCUGUCCAAGUCAAGGCGCAGAAAGUAUCCCAAAGCAGCAGGACUAGAAAUGCAGUGACAAUGUACGCUUUCAGCCUCCUUCCAUCAUGCUCUCUGGUAUCCAACGCGACCGAACGGCAUUUUUACAAAGGCCCCAAGCACCAAAAUUACAAGUAGAUAUUAGCGUUCACUCUGCCUAUGCGCAGACAACAUACACAGAUACGCCUCCGUGGGAAUUCACGUACAUAGAAGCAGCAAGAUGGAGCCAGUUUUAGCUUUGGGGGCCACGGGAUGAUGUGGAAAAGCCUGCCGUCUACACCGGCGUGGCACUGGAAUGACAGCCAGAUGGAAGCAGCUGCAGCCGCCUGAGAAACAAAGCUGGAGAAUUUGACAGCAGAAGCAAGCGGCUGCAGCCCAAAUCCCCCGGGUGUCAAGAGCCCUGCUGUGGGGCCUGGCGAAGGCAGUCGUGGAUUGGCACCACUGAAAUCAUGGGUUUCGCUAAAUGGCUUGCCUUUUAUGAACCUUUGAGAAAGGGAAAGCAAGUGUUCUCUCAUGUAUUCAAGCCGUUAUUUGUUGAAAGGCUACUAUGGGUCAGUCACGAUUCAUUUCAUAAUGGUUAUAUGCUAAAAUGCUCACAUGUUAAUAAAUUGUAUUUAUUUUUUAAUGUUUAUUUAUUUUGAGAGGGAGAGAGAGAGAGAGCAUGCUUGUGAGCAGAGGAGGGGCAGAGAGAGAGAGAGAG